AUGAUAGUGAUAGAUUUGCUUCCAUUCAUAUUCGCAGAGAAAGAAGGUUUUAGGUUGUUCAUGGCUAAAGCUUGCCCAAGGUUCACUGUACCAUCUAGGACAACUAUGUACAGAGAUAUCAUUGCUAUUUAUGAAGCUGAGAAAGCUAUGCUUAGAAAAUAUUUCAUUGAAUCACGUCAAACUGUUUGCCUCACCACUGAUACAUGGACAUCAAAAAGACAACAAAGCUACAUGGUCCUUACUGCACAUUCCAUUGAUUCUGGGUGGAAACUUAGAAAAAAUAUUAUUAACUUUGUCUUGGUAGAUGGACACAAAGGGGAUGACAUUGGGAAAUCAUUAGAAAAAUUACUUAUUGAGUGGGGCAUUGAGCGAGUAUGCACUAUUACUGUUGAUAAUGCAAGUUCUUAUGACACUUGCUUAGCCUACAUGAAGAGGUCUUUGACUAAUGCAAGAAGUCGGUAUCUUGGCAUGAGGUGUGUGGCACAUAUUAUUAAUCUAGUGGUCCAAGAUGGGCUAAAGAUAAUGUGCCAUCCAAUAAACAGAAUUCGAAGUGCUAUCAAGUUUGUGAGAGCCUCCCCAACUAGAUUGGAUUUAUUUAAAAAGUGUGUGCAGCUUAGCAAGGUAGUGAGUAAAGGUUUGAUUAAUAUUGAUGUGGUUACUAGAUGGAACUCCACAUUUAUAAUGCUAGAGACUGCUGAGAAAUUUGAGAGGGCAUUUGAGCAAUAUGCACUUCAGGAUCCCAACUACAAGACCGAGUUAGAAAAAACUGGUCCAGAACCUAAGCCUGAUACUCCUGAUCAGCGGGGUCCUCCAACUCAAAGUGAUUGGGUGUAUGUUCGUGAGUUCAAACAAUUCCUCCAACACUUCUAUCUCCUGACUAAUAAGGUUUCUGGCACUAAGUACGUUACAGCCAACACCUUCUUGGAAGAUAUUGCUGAUGUACAUUUUAUGUUGGGUGAAUGGAGUGAUCAUGUGAUCUGUGGUGAUGGUGAAAUAUUUAAAUGCAUGGCUACCAAGAUGAAAACCAAGUAUGAGAAGUACUGGGGUGAUCCUGAAAAGAUGAACAAGUACAUAUUCAUUGCUGCCAUCCUUGAUCCAAGGACCAAGGAAUCUCAUUUCUUUAAGGACAUGAUUGAAGACACCUAUGGCAGUAUAAUAGGUAAGAGAAUCUUGACAUCUUCCGACAAUGAAUUUGUUUCUCUUUUUGGAGAAUACAGAGAAUUAUAUGGAACCAAUACUCCUAGGGAAUUAGCAUCACAAGCUCGUCCUAGUGCAAAUGCUUCUGAAAAUUCUCUAGUGAGGUCACGAUACAACUAG
rnacentral:rRNA from 1 species